rnacentral:ncRNA from 2 species
UGUAAAAAAGGCGAUGGGGCUCGCCAUAAUUGCUGAUACAUAAUUGCUCAGCUGAUAGCUCCUACCGGUGA